GUGUCAGCAGCCGCGGUAAUACGUAGGGUGCGAGCGUUAAUCGGAAUUACUGGGCGUAAAGCGUGCGCAGGCGGUUGUGUAAGACAGGUGUGAAAUCCCCGGGCUUAACCUGGGAACUGCGCUUGUGACUGCACGGCUAGAGUACGGCAGAGGGGGGUGGAAUUCCACGUGUAGCAGUGAAAUGCGUAGAUAUGUGGAGGAACACCGAUGGCGAAGGCAGCCCCCUGGGCCGAUACUGACGCUCAUGCACGAAAGCGUGGGGAGCAAACAGGAUUAGAAACCCUAGUAGUCC
rnacentral:rRNA from 1 species